GCCUGCAUAGCUCAGCGGACAGAGCAAAGGACUUCUAAUCCUUAGGCCGCUGGUUCGAAUCCAGCUGCAGGCACGA
rnacentral:tRNA from 1 species